rnacentral:lncRNA from 1 species
GUUCGAGUUCGAAACAAUCACUCACUCAAUUAUUAAAGCCUAAGGUCUAUCUUACUUCGAGUUCAAGCAAUCACUCACUCGAUCAUAAAAGGCCUACGAGCUAUACUUCGAGUUCGAGCAAUCACUCACUCAAUUAUUAAAGCCUAAGGGCUAUCUUACUUCGAGUUCGAGCAAUCACUCACUCGAUCAUAAAAAGCCUACGGGCUAAGAUACUUUGAGUUCGAGUUCGAAACAAUCACUCACUCAAUUAUUAAAGCCUAAGGGCUAUUUUACUUCGAGUUCGAGCAAUCACUCACUCGAUCAUAAAAAUCCUACGGGCU